UACGGGGGGGGUAAGCGUUGUUCGGAAUUACUGGGCGUAAAGGGCUCGUAGGCGGCCAACUAAGUCGGACGUGAAAUCCCUCAGCUUAACUGGGGAACUGCGUCCGAUACUGGAUGGCUUGGAUUUGGGAGAGGGAUGCGGAAUUCCAGGUGUAGCGGUGAAAUGACGUAGAUAUCUGGAGGAACACCGGUGGCGAAGGCGGCAUCCUGGACCAAUAUUGACGCUGAGGAGCGAAAGCCAGGGGAGCAAACGGG
rnacentral:rRNA from 1 species